GGUCUAUCAUAUAAAAAAUUAUUGUAGGGAUGUAUAGCAAUAAAAAAAUCACAACUAGAAUUUGCCCACCCAGGUGGUACCGAUAUGUGAAAUUUUGGUUCUUGGCUCAAGUGCUAUGAUACCUGAAAGAACUGCUCCACCAUCAAAUUGGGCCACUCCCACUUCAUCAACUCAUUUAAUUAGACACAGGUUUGAUUCAUUUAUAGAAAAGAGCAGUGUGACCCAAAAAGAGUGUGACUUUUAAUGUGCUUUUGACUUUCUGUGUUGCUUUUGGAGUUAACAAAAAAUCGCCUAUUGAGGAAAAUAACAAAAUGAGAAAAAAUAUAAAAAGCUACCCCUAUGAAAAGUCUAUCAUAUUUUAAUUUACUUAUAUUGACCCUAAAAACAAUUUAGAAUAUGUAAGGUUUUGUCCACCCAAGUGGUACCGACAUCUGGUCUGGCUCAAGGACUAAAUAGCGCUUUUAAAGAAACUAGUGAGCACAAUGUGAUACAAUUCCUUUACACUAAAGGCUAUACAACACAAUCUGACACCAUAAAACACAGUAUAAUACUUUACAUUAUACAGCGUAAUAUACUAUGAUACUAUGAUUUAAUGUGGCAAUAUCAUUCAAAAUUAUAUAUGACAUGAGAUAAAAAGGGGUUGGAUUAAAACUAUUAAAAUUAAUACGAUAAUGUAUGGUGCCCCCGAUGAAACAAUAUUAUGAAUAAAACAUUCUAUGGCAUAGUGUGAUAUGAUAUGAUAAGGCAUAUGAUGUGAUAUGACUUAAAAACACCUUGUGAUAAGACAUUAUGAUAUGAUAUCAUUUCAUGACUUGAUUUUUAAUAUUUUACAAUACAACAUGAUAUUUAAUUGGAACUUUUAUUGUGAGAUAUAAUAUGACAUGAUACAACAUGGCAUGAUGUGAUAUAACUGGAAAGGGUACAAUACAAUAUUAAAAACUAUGAAUUACACAAUCUCAUGUGGUUUGACCUAAUGGAAAACAAUAAACUGAUGAUAUGAUAUGA